CCUACGGGUGGCAGCAGUGGGGAAUUUUGGACAAUGGGGGCAACCCUGAUCCAGCCAUUCCGCGUGAGUGAAGAAGGCCUUCGGGUUGUAAAGCUCUUUUGUCCGGAGCGAAACGGGCGGCCCUAAUACGGUCGUCUACUGACGGUACCGGAAGAAUAAGCACCGGCUCACUACGUGCCAGCAGCCGCGGUAAUACGUAGGUUGCGAGCGUUAAUCGGGAGUGCGCGGCGGAAAGCGUGCGCAAGCGGUGAAAUCCCCGGGCUCAACCUGGGAAUGGCAUUUGGGACUGCAAGGCUGGAGUGUGGCAGAGGGGACUAGAAUUCCUGGUGUAGCAGUGAAAUGCGUAGAUAUCAGGAGGAAUACCGAUGGCGAAGGCAGGUCCCUGGGUUAACACUGACGCUCAUGCACGAAAGCGUGGGGAGCAAACAGGAUUAGAUACCCUUGUAGUC
rnacentral:rRNA from 1 species